rnacentral:rRNA from 1 species
AUUGAACGCUGGCGGCAUGCCUAACACAUGCAAGUCGAACGGUAACAGGAAGAAGCUUGCUUCUUUGCUGACGAGGGGCGCAGGGGAGAGUCAUGUGUGUGACCUACCUAUAUGACGGGGAUAACUUCGGGAAACCGGAGCUAAUACCGGCUAAUAUUUUCAACCCCAAGGUGGAAUACUUAAGGACGUUUUUGCUUCGACUUUUCGAUGGUGCCGUGCCGAAUUAGCUAGUUGGUGAGGUAACGGCUUACCAAGGCAACGAUGCGUAGCCGAUCUGAGAGGAUGACCAGCCACACUGGAACUGAGACACGGUCCAGACUCCUACGGGAGGCAGCAGUGGGGAAUAUCGCACAAUGGGCGCAAGCCUGAUGCAGCAACGCCGCGUGUAUGAAGAAGGUCUUCGGGUUGUAAAGUACUUUCAGCAGGGAGGAAGGGAGUAAAGUUAAUACCUUCGCUCAUUGACGUUACCCGAAGAAGAAGCACCGGCUAACUACGUG